GCUGAACGCUUUCUUCUUUCCUAAUACAUGCAAGUCGAGCGAACGGACGAGAAGCUUGCUUCUCUGAUGUUAGCGGCGGACGGGUGAGUAACACGUGGAUAACCUACCUAUAAGACUGGGAUAACUUCGGGAAACCGGAGCUAAUACCGGAUAAUAUUUUGAACCGCAUGGUUCAAAAGUGAAAGACGGUCUUGCUGUCACUUAUAGAUGGAUCCGCGCUGCAUUAGCUAGUUGGUAAGGUAACGGCUUACCAAGGCAACGAUGCAUAGCCGACCUGAGAGGGUGAUCGGCCACACUGGAACUGAGACACGGUCCAGACUCCUACGGGAGGCAGCAGUAGGGAAUCUUCCGCAAUGGGCGAAAGCCUGACGGAGCAACGCCGCGUGAGUGAUGAAGGUCUUCGGAUCGUAAAACUCUGUUAUUAGGGAAGAACAUAUGUGUAAGUAACUGUGCACAUCUUGACGGUACCUAAUCAGAAAGCCACGGCUAACUACGUG
rnacentral:rRNA from 1 species